UGGAAAGUUCUCCCUAAUGUUUC
rnacentral:piRNA from 1 species